AAUCUUGCGCAAUGGGCGAAAGCCUGACGCAGCCAUGCCGCGUGAAUGAUGACGGUCUUAGGAUUGUAAAAUUCUUUCACCGGGGACGAUAAUGACGGUACCCGGAGCAGAAGCCCCGGCUAACUUCGUGCCAGCAGCCGCGGUACUACGAAGGGGGCUAGCGUUGCCCGGAAUUACUGGGCGUAAAGGGCGCGUAGGCGGAUCGUUAAGUCAGGGGUGAAAUCCCGGGGCUCAACCUCGGAACUGCCCUUGAUACUGGCGAUCUUGAGUAUGAGAGAGGUAUGGGGAACUCCGGGUGUAGAGGUGAAAUUCGUAGAUAUUCGGAAGAACACCAGUGGCGAAGGCGACAUACUGGCUCAUUACUGACGCUGAGGCGCGAAAGCGUGGGGAGCGAACA
rnacentral:rRNA from 1 species